rnacentral:rRNA from 1 species
AGAGUUUGAUCCUGGCUCAGAUUGAACGCUGGCGGCACGCUUAACACAUGCAAGUCGAACGGCGGCAUGGUUUAAGAUUUAUCUUAGACUGAUGGCGAGUGGCGGACGGGUGAGUAACGCGUAGGAAUAUGCCUUGAAGAGGGGGAUAACUUGGGGAAACCCAAGCUAAUACCGCAUAUGCUCUACGGAGCGAAGCUGGGGACCUUAGGGCCUGGCGCUUUGAGAAUAGCCUGCGUCUGAUUAGCUAGUUGGUGGGGUAAAGGCCUACCAAGGCGAUGAUCGGUAGCUGGUCUGAGAGGAUGGACAGCCACACUGGGACUGAGACACGGCCCAGACUCCUACGGGAGGCAGCAGUGGGGAAUAUUGGACAAUGGGGGGAACCCUGAUCCAGCGAUGCCGCGUGUGUGAAGAAGGCCCGAGGGUUGUAAAGCACUUUUAGUGGGGAGGAUUGGUGAGUGGUUAAUAACCAUUUGCAGAGACGUUACCCACCAUAAACAGCACCGGCUAACUCCGUGCCAGCAGCCGCGGUAAUACGGGGGGUGCAAGCGUUAAUCGGAGUUAUUGGGCGUAAAGGGUACGUAGGUGGUUCAUUAAGUUAUGUGGGAAAUACCUGGGCUUAACCUGGGAAUGUCGGAUAAUACUGGUGAACUUGAGUAUAGUAGAGGGUAGUGGAAUUUC